rnacentral:tRNA from 1 species
GGUUCCGUGGUGCAGUUGGUUAGCGCAUCGUACUAAUACUUUGUCAUCACGGCGAAUUACAUGCGAAAGUCGAGGGUUCGAGCCCCUCCGGGACCA